rnacentral:rRNA from 1 species
AACGAACGCUGGCGGCAUGCCUAACACAUGCAAGUCGAACGAGACCUUCGGGUCUAGUGGCGCACGGGUGCGUAACGCGUGGGAACCUGCCCUUAGGUUCGGAAUAACUCCCCGAAAGGGGUGCUAAUACCGGAUAAUGUCUUCGGACCAAAGAUUUAUGGCCUUUGGAUGGGCCCGCGUUGGAUUAGCUAGUUGGUAGGGUAAAAGCCUACCAAGGCGACGAUCCAUAGCUGGUCUGAGAGGAUGAUCAGCCACACUGGGAAUGAGACACGGCCCAGACUCGUACGGGAGGCAGCAGUGGGGAGUAUUGGACAAUGGGCGAUAGCCUGAUCCAGCAAUGCCGCGUGAGUGAUGAAGGCCUUAGGGUUGUAAAGCUCUUUUACCCGGGAUGAUAAUGACAGUACCGGGAGAAUAAGCACCGGCUAACUCCGUG